rnacentral:misc_RNA from 1 species
AAGUCGUAACAAGGUUUCCGUAGGUGAACCUGCGGAAGGAUCAUUAAACAACUAAUAGUCUUUUACAAAACUAUAUCAACCCUUUGUGAACCAAAAAACCUUUUCGCUUCGGUAGCAGGCUUGGUUGCGUGCGGUUUGAAAAAACCAAGCGCUCUCAAGCUGUCAGCCUGCCGGCAGCACCAAACAUAAACCUGUUUUAAAACUAUUGUCUGAACAGAAUCAUUUUCGAAUGAAAAUUAAAACUUUCAACAACGGAUCUCUUGGUUCUC